rnacentral:rRNA from 1 species
AGGACGAACGCUGGCGGCGUGCUUAACACAUGCAAGUCGAGCGGAAAGGCCCUUCGGGGUACUCGAGCGGCGAACGGGUGAGUAACACGUGAGUAAUCUGCCCCUAGCUCUGGGAUAGCUCCGGGAAACCGGGAUUAAUACCAGAUACGACCACUUUAGACAUCUGCUGUGGUGGAAAGAAUUUCGGCUAGGGAUGAGCUCGCGGCCUAUCAGCUUGUUGGUGAGGUAACGGCUCACCAAGGCGACGACGGGUAGCCGGCCUGAGAGGGCGACCGGGCCACACUGGGACUGAGACACGGCCCAGACUCCUACGGGAGGCAGCAGUGGGGGAAUAUUGCGCAAUGGGCGAAAGCCUGACGCAGCGACGCCGCGUGGGGGAUGAAGGCCUUCGGGUUGUAAACCCCGUUUCACGCAGGGACGAAGCGAAGUGACGGUACCUGCAGAAGAAGCGCCGGCUAACUACGUGCCAGCAGCCGC